CAGGCCAAAAGUUUGGACACACCUUCUCAUUGAAUUCAAUGAGAAGUUGUGUCCAAACUUUUGGUCUGUACUGUAUAUAAUUAAUAUGCUUUAAGUUUCACUGCAAAAUUGUAUGUUUUAAUAUUUGUAAUGAGAUUUUAUUUCUUCAGUAAUUCAGGACUCGUAUUGCAGUAAAUUCGUACUCUAGUAGCAUUAUACUGAUUCUUUAUAACAAUUCACUUGUAGUUAGUGCAUAAGAAUUGGUUAACUGAAUUAUUUUUAAAUGAAUGUUUAUACAGAAAGUAUGUUUUUAUAAACCCUUUUUGAAGCCCCAAAAACAAUACUUGGAUGCAUAAAAAAAGAUUUCCUGCAGCACAAUAAAACAUGUUCGGUUUCUGCUUGCUAAAAACCAUUCACCUACCAGGCUUACAGUUUGAUAAUAACAGCAGGGUAAAAGCAGAAAACAGAGUUAAUGCUCCUGCAUACGAAGCAUACGCGCCACUCUUCUUUUUUCUUCUGCCAUUUCUCCCUUCACCACACAAUCAAAUGCAUACCACCAGCACUCCACCAUGGCCAAUGUAUACAAUUCUAUCAAAAAAAAUGUUAAUUUGUAAUUAAUCAAAAAUAUUUAGAACUGAUCUGAAAAUAAUUCAGAUAGGAUAGGGUAUGUGGAUGAAAAUUUUAAGUGUCCAAAUCAUCGUAGAUUACUUAAGUUCUUGUUUGACCGAUCUGUAUAUUGUGCUUUUCACUUCUGUUUUAGCCUAAGAUGGUUCACAAGCCAAAUUACUUUGGAAAUGCUGUUUUAUAUGUUUUCCUAAAUGAAAUAAAUGUUUUUUGAAUCUCAAA